AAGCUACCUACUCGGCCUUUCUACGGGAGACAGACGGCAAGUCACUUGGUGGUUCCAUUGGCCCACUCCGACCAAAUGCUUCAGUUGAUGCGUACCCCGACCACUCCGACCUUCCAGGCCUCCCUUCUGUCUCUAGCAGUCACCGAGAAUGGGCCCAGGGGCUACCGGUUCAAGGACACGAGAUCAUUUCCAUACGUACGGAAUGUGUGCACGAAACCUUAGUGCCCAUCUUGAUCUCUUGGCAUGUUUCUCACCUGAGUUGAGAGAGGAGGCAUUCAGUGACUACAGCUCCAGUUCUUCUUCUUUUUGAGGUGCUCCAAGCAGCCAGCCCCAGAGGUUUGCCCAGGGUAUUGGCCACAGCAACGUGUAGGCAGCCUCUAGCAUCAGCACUGCCAGGAAGAUGGCAAGAAAAAUGAAAAAGGCCCUGUCUAGGGCCCGAAGAAAGGGACCCCUGGGAGGAGCAGGACCCUGGGCAAAUGCCAAGAACACAUCUCCCUCAUCCCUAUCGCCCUCCUCCUCUGCCAUUCUGCCUUGAAAGCCUAACAGCUGAGCAGAUCAAGCUGGAUAGAAUGGAGACACUGGGUCAGCACUACUUGGAUUAAUGGUGAUUUAGGGGGGAAGGAGUUUUCUUGCUGUAUGUGCCCUCUGUGACCUAAUUCUCCAGAGACAGAAAUAAUGACUAUAAUAACAACAUAUAGCCCUUUAAAGUUUUCAAAGUGAUUUACAUAUAUUAGUAUGAAGGUCCUACACCAUCCCAUUAAUGUAAUCAUAGAAGGAGUAGACUAUUAGAUUGAAUCAUUCAAACUAGGUAUAUUAAUCAAUUUGAAAGAAUUCUAGGACUGAUCAUUGGAUGAAGACAGAUGAACGAUACCACACAGGAAAAACCUGUAUUUGAAGGAAAGAAUAAAAAUACACCUGAAACGAUA